UCGCACUGUUAAAUAUAUUUAAAUAUAUUUUGAAAACACUUGAUGGUCACGCGCUGUACUGGAGUCACCAUGGAAACGGGGCUCAGCUCAACCGUCAAGCAGCUGAACAGACGCUGUCUCUCAUGGUUGUUUUCACUAAUUUCAGUUUAUAGAAAUGGUCAGUGUCUUCAUGAAAAGUCCGUUAGCAUCUCAACUGUAAUGCUAACUACAAGAGAUUCUUCCAUGCUGAUGGCCGUGCCUGUAUCCAGCUGAAGAACAUUUUUAGACAUUAUGAAACAUAUAACUAAGACUGAAAAUCAUUGAUAAACCACAAGCUCCAACCCCAGUUAAGCAGACCUGAGCAGCCGAUCAAGGAUCAGCAGAAACUCUGCAGAACGGUGGUCCUCCAGCCCAGGACUGGACACCAGUGUUAUGCUGCAGAAAAAAGAGCGAGGCUAAAGCAUUCAAAGUGGAAACAUCUGCCGUGGCUCAUUAAUCCAGAAUUGGGAUGGAGGAAGGAGCAGAAGAAGCAGAAGAUCAGAGAUCAGGCAGAGAUCUACUGGUGCCCCUGUGGGAACCCCAUUUACCUAAUGUGUUAGUUUAACCAAAGAUUUUCCUCACUCACCUUUAUGUUGUUCCAAACCAGACUUUUGUUCAUCCUUGAAACAUAAAUGCGGAACUUUUUAAUGAAAUCUGAGAUUAUUUUCUUUAUAUAAAAUAACACAUUCACACAAGCACCAUGAUGCAUCAGUGUUGCAUUGGCGUGAGAGCUGGCGCUUUUGGUGCUUUUGUGAAAAUCCAUUGGGGAGUCAUAAUUUCUGAAUAGAUUAUUUUUGCUGUUGUUAUUGUUUGUUUGUUUUUUUUUGUACACAAGGCAUCUGUUAAAAAAAUAUCUUAAUUUGUGUUCUGCACAAAAGGGUGUUAUGGGUUUGGGGCAACAUGAGGGUAAGUAAUUAAUGACAGAAUUAAAAUUUUUGGUUGUUCUAAUGUGGUUAUAAUUGGUCAUAGUUUAUUUGUCUUGAAAAAAUAUAUUUAUACAGAAACAUGGAUUAAUUUGAUAAGUUUAUAGUAAAGCCUUUUAAAUUGAUAAAAAAAAAA